CCCUUCUCAGGAUCACAUCUGGAGAGGUUCCAGUACUCUAUCAGACUCAACUAUGGGAGGGAGAGUCAAGCAGAGGCAUAUCCAUUCCAUUCCUAGCUUGGCAGUGGCUAGCGACUGGAAGACAAUCCGCUACAAGU
rnacentral:snoRNA from 2 species